rnacentral:rRNA from 1 species
UGCAAGUCGAACGGUAACAGGAAGAAGCUUGCUGAUUCGCUGACGAGUGGCGGACGGGUGAGUAAUGUCUGGGAAACUGCCUGAUGGAGGGGGAUAACUACUGGAAACGGUAGCUAAUACCGCAUAACGUCGCAAGACCAAAGAGGGGGACCUUCGGGCCUCUUGCCAUCGGAUGUGCCCAGAUGGGAUUAGCUAGUAGGUGGGGUAACGGCUCACCUAGGCGACGAUCCCUAGCUGGUCUGAGAGGAUGACCAG